ensembl:lncRNA
GAAAUACAUGGGAAAAAGCAUUUUCCAGAGCAGGAGGAAAAACAGGUGAUAUGGUAAAAGAAGAGAAAAAUAGCCUCUGUGGUUUUAUUUUUGGGCAACAGUUUUGGAGCUGGAGCCUCAAGGUAUUUUAAGUGUGUUGUUUUGAAUUGCUUAUUGUCACAACGUUCUUCCUCUGAGCAAAGUGCCAUUCAGUUUGAAAGUGAUGGAUAGUAGCCAAAGACAGUUUCUAUCAACUGCUUGCUUGCUUACCAACCACCACGGUAGGUGAAAAGAAAGUGAGAGAAACUGCACUUUUUUUUCCUCCCUCUUACAGGAGCCAGAAACAGCAGAAAACCAUCUGUCCUCAGUCUUAAAAACUGAGAGAAGGCUUGCAAGGAAGUGCCAUGAGUGACUGCAGGACUGACCACACCACGCAUGGGUAGUAAAGAUGAAUCAGCCUGCCAAGCUUGGUCUUUAUAUGGAGAGACCUUACCAACAGUUCCUGUUUCCAUGCUCCUGGCAGACAGAUAACGUGGAUGCUUCAGGAAUUCCUGAUAUAAAUCUCUUAUGGACACAAAGCAGUUCCCACAUUGCAUCUUUUCUCCCUCCUGCUCCUUUGGUUUGCAUUUUGUGAUUUGAUGUUUUGCAGGAACUACUCUCAGCUGCACAAGCCAUACACGUCUUUUAAUUUUUUUUCUUGCCAGGGGUGUUUUCUUCUGCUCCUACUCUUUUGGAUUCACAUGGCUUUACUGGCAGCAUUACAGUCUGUUUGGGGUGAUUUAGAACAGGACAGAUAAAAAGGCGCAAAUAUUAUUCCCUGACAAAUAAGCAAGCCUAGAUAUGCCUCAAAAACUUUUAAAACAUUUAAAACCCUUAUUCACAGGCAAUUUAUGUAGCUGACUACUGGGCAAGCAUAAAUCCCUAAAUCCUUCUUUUUCUUUAUUUUCAUCAGCAUUGUUUGGUUUUUCUUAUGCUUUUCUUGUCAGCUUCUUUCUAAAGAGCAGUAGGUACCAGCGUGCUUUCAAAAAUGCAUUAUUUUUCUUUUAUCAUCUGCAUAACACAGCAAAGUUUUAUCUCAUUUGCAACGUAUUUUGUGAUCAAAAAUAGACUUUAAUAACGAUGAAGAAGGAAACCCUUUAUGCAUGUCUGUCUGUUGAGGCACGGUAGGUACCCAUGGUUGGAUGCUGCUGUCUGUAUGUUAUCUCCUAUUUAUCAGAGCCCAGCCCUUCACCAAGCUGUCAGCUGAACAGAGGGGACGCAGAGUGACAGGCAUUUCUGAGCAGACUUCGGGAUGUGCCAGAGCCCCAGAGUGAGUCAUGAUGUGUGACAGACAUCCAGCGUGAUAACCUACAUUGGCUCUUCACGUGCUGUGGGAUGCCUUACUUUGGGAAAAAUAGCUGGAGAGGGGUGGCCAGCACGCUGGGGUCCUGCUGGCUGGUGCUGCAGGGAAGGAGACACCACUGAAGACAAUACAGCCCAGUCUGGAGAUAGUCGUGGGAGAAUUUCCUUUGAAUUCUUCUCAGUCUUUCAGAUGUAAGGUCAUCGUGAGACUUUGCAUCACGUGCAUCACUGCAAUUUGCUUCAGAGGCCUCUUCUGGCAGCUACCUGGCUUGCCAGCAACUGGUCUGAGGAAGAGGGGGAAAAGUGAAAAAUACAGAGUCUAUGUAAAUGUGAGUGUUUUUUUCCACAAUCUUUUUGUUUUAAACUGUGGAGAAAAUUAGAAUUUUGAAGAAUGCCCAAAAUCAGAUGAAGCAAUUGAGCCUUAAGAGAAAACAAUUAGGCUCUGAGAGAUUGCUGCUGCACUUCUGUAAUCUGUGUGCCCAAGUUGUCUUGUCCCAGCAGAUCCUCCCCUAGGACACAGCCUCCUUCCAGGGGCUGAGCUGCUGCACAACAGAGGUCCUCUGCCUCCCCACACCAUGGGGAAAAGGGCCUCAGUGCAUUAGAACCUUUCUUGAGACACUCCUGCGAUAUUUGCAGCCAAAGCAUUUUGAUUUUCAGUGAAAUACAUCAGAAGUAUUUUCUUCCAGGGUUUCAAUAAAGUGUGUGACAAAAAUAUUUUGCUUUUGAAU